UACGUAGGGGCCGAGCGUUGUCCGGAGUUAUUGGGCGUAAAGCGCGCGCAGGCGGCUUCGCGCGCCCGACGUGAAAGCCCCCGGCUUAACCGGGGAGAGUCGUUGGAGACGGCGGAGCUUGAGGGCGGGAGAGGGCGGUGGAAUUCCCGGUGUAGUGGUGAAAUGCGUAGAGAUCGGGAGGAACACCGGUGGCGAAGGCGGCCGCCUGGGCCGACCCUGACGCUGAGGCGCGAAGGCGUGGGGAGCGAACGGG
rnacentral:rRNA from 1 species